GGUUACAGAUGCUGGAAUGCCCUGUAACCAAAAGCUCCGGCGCCCUAGGAUGGAUCUGCGGCCGAUUAGGUUGUUGUUGGGGUAACGGCCCAACAAGCCCGUAAUCGGUACGGGUUGUGGGAGCAAGAGCCCGGAGUUGGAUUCUGAGACACGAAUCCAGGCCCUACGGGGCGCAGCAGGCGCGAAACCUUUACAAUGCGGGCAACCGUGAUAAGGGAACCUCGAGUGCCUGUAAACGCAGGCUGUUCAGGUGUUUAAAACGCACCUGGAGAAAGGGCCGGGCAAGACCGGUGCCAGCCGCCGCGGUAAUACCGGCGGCUCGAGUGGUGGCCGCUUUUAUUGGGCUUAAAGCGUUCGUAGCUGGGUCGUUAAGUCUCUUGGGAAAUCUGGCGGCUCAACCGUCAGGCGUCUAAGGGAUACUGGCAAUCUUGGAACCGGGAGAGGUGAGGGGUACUUCGGGGGUAGGGGUGAAAUCCUGUAAUCCUCGAGGGACCACCUGUGGCGAAGGCGCCUCACCAGAACGGCUUCGACAGUGAGGGACGAAAGCUGGGGGAGCAAACCGGAUUAGAUACCCGGGUAGUCCCAGCCGUAAACGAUGCGCGUUAGGUGUAUCGGUGACCACGAGUUACCGAGGUGCCGAAGGGAAACCGUGAAACGCGCCGCCUGGGAAGUACGGUCGC
rnacentral:rRNA from 1 species